ACCACCACUUUAAGGUCCACCACUGGAUUGUGAACAAACAGCUCAUUGUUUGAGAUGCUUUUAGAAGCACUCAGAAUCUACUGGGUGCCCUCAGGCAGGAGGCCUGCAUGUGAACUCAGGAAAACUGCUUGGGGCUUCCUGGAGCUGAGUCACAGUGGCAGCAGCGAAUAUUUUUCAGUAAUCAGCACCAGAGCCUCCUCUUAGCUCUUCCCUGGGCAUAGCGCAGUGAAGAGAGCAUGAGCUUUGGAGUGGUACGAACCUGGAACUGAAUGUGAUCACGGCUAGAUGUAAUCCUUCUGAGCCUCAGUUUCCUCACAUAUGAAAUGGAGCCAUGAUGGUCCCUUCACCCGAUUAUUGAGAUGACAGAUGUUGUUUGAGCUUUUGUUACCUCCUGGCAAGGGAUCACGGACAUUUCUUGUGUGCGUUGAAAUGUCAGGAGAUAUUAAGAAAUGGAGACAUGGAGUUCCCAUUGUGGCACAGUGAAAAUGACUCCCGUUUUUGGAGCAGAACCACGCCAUCGUCUCUCCUGGGACUCCGGCUUGCUGACUGCGGAUCUUGGCACUUGUCAGCUUCCAUAACCGUGCUACCGGACAGACGUGCUGGGGCCCAGGAACUCUACCUCAUGGCUUCUAAGCAGGCAGAUUUGGCCCAGAGGGCAUGCCGCUGCUUCUGAUGCUCCCAAGAAGUUGUAUGAAGCCUCCAACUUGGGACCUCCUUGGGGAGCCAAGAGAAGGGCAGUGGGCAAAUGCUGGAUAGUUGGGCAAGGUUUCAGGACCCUGACAUCUCUAAGGCCUAUGAGUAAUCACUCUUCAGUAUCUGCAAGGGAAGAAUGAGGUUGCACAUGUACUGAGCUGCACAUCAUUUCUAGGCAAGUGUCCUUGACUUUUUCGGUCUUCACUCUGCCCAUUAUUUGCUUGAUGCUGAAGUCUACCUCUGUUGCAUUUUCACCACAAGCUCCACUGACUAAUGAAUUCUAAGGUCCCUUCCACCUCCUAUCCCCAAGGCUUCAUUGUAUGAAAUCUACUCUCAUCACACCAUUGUUUCCCUUGUGUUCUUGCACUAUUUUGGGGGUGGGUGGGUGGAGGGGAGGGCCCACACCCACAGCAUAUGGAAGUUCUCCUGCCAGGGAUUGAAUCCAAGCCACCACAGCUGACCUACUGCCACAGCUAUGGCAGUACUGGAUCCUUAAUGCACUGCACCACAAUAGGAACUCCUGCACUAUUAAAAAAAAAAAUGUAUCCAAAGUAAUAUUUGGACAUAAAGAGUCAAAUAGUGUGACAGGGCUGAUUGCAAAAAGAGAUUCGAGUCCUACCUUUUUUGCAACUCUUGGCUUUUCCAACAGGUAUUUACCUUCAUGUUUCCAAGUAAUUUGCUUAUUAUUUAUUGUCGCUGUUAUUUUUUCAUUUAAGACAUCAUGUGUUGGCCUCCUACCAUAGGAAAUGAGAAUUUUAGUUUUCUUACCAUUUGCCCUUGCUCUACACAUAUUUUUCCUCUCCAUGUUCCAUAAUUAUUUCACAAUUUUGGUUAAAUCAAUACUACAUUUUUAUAGGAUUAUCGUUUUGUAAGUAUUAUUAAUAAUUGAGCCCCAAACUGUAAUAAUUACAUUCCAUUAUUUUAUAGAUUUUUUUUCUGGGGUCAUUUUUCUCCAUUAAGUUUUCUAUGAAUCUAUCCAGAUUUUGCCACAAACUCUUAGAGAAUUGCAAAAGCCCUCUCAAGCAGCGUCAGUAACACCAGGAGGGUCGUGGGUCCCUCUCUGCCUCUCAGGCCCCUCCCAUGCCUCCUCUCCUCCUCUGCUGCUGGGACCCACACUGGUUGCUCCCCAGGCCUGCUGCCAUCUGUUCCAGGCUCCUGCCUCCCCCAUUCCCAGUGUCCUGACCCCCUAUUUUCUGAACACUGCGUCUUCUUUCUUGCUUUAUCUUCUCCUUCCCUCACUCUUUUUUUUUUGGUGAAGCAGCAGCUUCUUGAGGUAAAGGGAUGCAGGGUCCAUGGGUACUUUUUUGAAAACAUCUUUAUUUGACUCUCAUACUUGACUGGGUUUGACUGGCUGUAGAAUUUUGGGUUGGGAAAGAUUUCUGUAUAUACUGUUCCAGGACAUUUUAGCAUCUAUUGUUGCUCUUGGAAAGUCCGAUGUAAUUCUUUUUAAAAUUUUUUUUAAAUUAGUAGUGAUCUAUAAUGUUCUGUCAAUUUCUGCUGUAUAGCAAAGUGACCCAGUCAUACAUAUAUAUAUAUAUACACACAUUCUUUUUCUCACAUUCUCCUCCAUCAUGUUCCGUCACAAGUGACUAGAUGUAGUUCCCUGUGCUGUACAGCAGGAUCUCCUUGUUUAUCCACUCAAAUGCAAUAGUUUGCAUCUACCAACCCCAAACUUCCAGUCCAUCCCUCUCUCCUCCCCCCUUGGCAACCACAACUCUGUUCUCCAUGUCCAUGAGUUUGUUUCUUUCCUGUAGAUAGGUUCAUAUAUUAGAUUCCAGAUAUAAGUGAUAUCAUAUGGUAUUUGUCUUUCUCUUUCUGACUCACUUCAUUUAGUGUGAGAGUUUCUGCGUCCAUCCAUGUUGCUGGACAUGGCACUACUGUGUUCUUUUUAAUGGCUGAGUAGUAUUUCACUGUAUAUAUGUGUGUGUGUUUACACACACACACACACACACAUACACACACACCCUCCAUUGAAGAAGAUACACGCACCCCUGUGUUCAUCGCAAUACUAUUCACAAUAGCCAAGACAUGGAAACAACCUAAAUGUCCAUCGAUAGAUGAAUGGAUUAAGAAGUCCAAUGCAAUUCUGAUUUUUGUUUUAUCAUAUGUUAACUUUCUCUCUUUCUCUCUCUUUCUCUCAUAUGGGUUAAUUUCUUUCUCUCUCUCUCUCUGGAAGCUUCUAGGAUCUUCUCAUUAUCCUUCCCAUUUGGGAAUUUCACAAUGAUAUGUCUUGUGUGGAUUUUGGGGAGUCGUACUUGGUAGGCUCCUUUAGUCUAGAAACUCACUUUAGUUUGGGGAACAUUCGUGGUAUUAUUUCUUUAAUUACUACCUCCCUUAGAUUUUUAAGUGUUCCUUUCAGCUGGAAAUUGGAUGUAGGACUGUCUGGAUUUGUCCUCUAAUUUCGCAGUUUUCCUCAUCUAGCUUCCAUUCUUUACCUUUUGUUCCUGGGAAAUUUCCUGAACUUUAACCUCAUAUCCUUCCAAUUGCUUUUGUGUAUUUUUAAUUUGCACUAACACUGAAUCCCCAAGAGCUUUUUCUACUCUGAAUGUGACUUUCUUCCAAUAGCAUUCUGUUCUUGAGCAUGUUAUCUUCUCAUCUGUUUCGGGAUGUUAAUAGCUUGUUUUG
rnacentral:lncRNA from 1 species